GAUGAACGCUGGCGGCGUGCCUAAUACAUGCAAGUCGAGCGAACGGACGAGAAGCUUGCUUCUCUGAUGUUAGCGGCGGACGGGUGAGUAACACGUGGAUAACCUACCUAUAAGACUGGGAUAACUUCGGGAAACCGGAGCUAAUACCGGAUAAUAUUUUGAACCGCAUGGUUCAAAAGUGAAAGACGUUCUUGCUGUCACUUAUAGAUGGAUCCGCGCUGCAUUAGCUAGUUGGUAAGGUAACGGCUUACCAAGGCAACGAUGCAUAGCCGACCUGAGAGGGUGAUCGGCCACACUGGAACUGAGACACGGUCCAGACUCCUACGGGAGGCAGCAGUGGGGAAUCUUCCGCAAUGGGCGAAAGCCUGACGGAGCAACGCCGCGUGAGUGAUGAAGGUCUUCGGAUCGUAAAGCUCUGUUAGUAGGGAAGAACAUAUGUGUAAGUAACUGUGCACAUCUUGACGUUACCUAAUCAGAAAGCCACGGCUAACUACGUG
rnacentral:rRNA from 1 species